rnacentral:rRNA from 1 species
GAUGAACGCUGGCGGCGUGCCUAAUACAUGCAAGUCGAGCGAACAGACGAGGAGCUUGCUCCUCUGACGUUAGCGGCGGACGGGUGAGUAACACGUGGAUAGCCUACCUAUAAGACUGGGAUAACUUCGGGAAACCGGAGCUAAUACCGGAUAAUAUAUUGAACCGCAUGGUUCAAUAGUGAAAGACGGUUUUGCUGUCACUUAUAGAUGGAUCCGCGCCGCAUUAGCUAGUUGGUAAGGUAACGGCUUACCAAGGCAACGAUGCGUAGCCGACCUGAGAGGGUGAUAGGCCACACUGGAACUGAGACACGGUCCAGACUCCUACGGGAGGCAGCAGUAGGGAAUCUUCCGCAAUGGGCGAAAGCCUGACGGAGCAACGCCGCGUGAGUGAUGAAGGUCUUCGGAUCGUAAAACUCUGUUAUUAGGGAAGAACAAAUGUGUAAGUAACUAUGCACGUCUUGACGGUACCUAAUCAGAAAGCCACGGCUAACUACGUG